rnacentral:rRNA from 1 species
AUUGAACGCUGGCGGCAGGCUUAACACAUGCAAGUCGAACGAGUGGCGGACGGGUGCGUAAUGCUUGGGAAUCUGGCUUAUGGAGGGGGAUAACGACGGGAAACUGUCGCUAAUACCGCGUACCAUAGGAUGAGCCCAAGUGGGAGUAGGUAGUUGGUGGGGGAAUGGCCUACCAAGCCGACGAUCUCUAGCUGGUCUGAGAGGAUGACCAGCCACACCGGAACUGAGACAAGGCGCGGACUCCUACGUGAGGCAGCAGUGGGGAAGAUUGCGCAAUGGGGGCAACCUGACGCAGCCAUGCCGCGUGAAUGAAGAAGGCCUUCGGGUUGUAAAGUUCUUUCUGUGACGAGGCGUUAAUCACAGAAGAAGCAACGGCUAACUCCGUGCCAGCAGCCGCGGUAAUAC